rnacentral:rRNA from 1 species
AUUGAACGCUGGCGGCAGGCCUAACACAUGCAAGUCGAGCGGAUGAAGGGAGCUUGCUCCUGGAUUCAGCGGCGGACGGGUGAGUAAUGCCUAGGAAUCUGCCUGGUAGUGGGGGAUAACGUCCGGAAACGGGCGCUAAUACCGCAUACGUCCUGAGGGAGAAAGUGGGGGAUCUUCGGACCUCACGCUAUCAGAUGAGCCUAGGUCGGAUUAGCUAGUUGGUGGGGUAAAGGCCUACCAAGGCGACGAUCCGUAACUGGUCUGAGAGGAUGAUCAGUCACACUGGAACUGAGACACGGUCCAGACUCCUACGGGAGGCAGCAGUGGGGAAUAUUGGACAAUGAGCGAAAGCCUGAUCCAGCCAUGCCGCGUGUGUGAAGAAGGUCUUCGGAUUGUAAAGCACUUUAAGUUGGGAGGAAGGGCGGUAAGUUAAUACCUUGCUGUUUUGACGUUACCAACAGAAUAAGCACCGGCUAACUUCGUG